rnacentral:rRNA from 1 species
UAAAUACUAAUACCAGAUCGAUAGUGCACAAGUACCGUGAGGGAAAGGUGAAAAGAACUGAGGUGAUCAGAGUGAAAUAGAACCUGAAACCAUUUGCUUACAAUCAUUCAGAGCCCUAUGUAGCAAUACAGGGUGAUGGACUGCCUUUUGCAUAAUGAGCCUGCGAGUUGUGGUGUCUGGCAAGGUUAAGCAAACGCGAAGCCGUAGCGAAAGCGAGUCUGAAUAGGGCGCUUAGUCAGAUGCUGCAGACCCGAAACGAAGUGAUCUAUCCAUGAGCAAGUUGAAGCUAGUGUAAGAACUAGUGGAGGACUGAACCCAUAGGCGUUGAAAAGCCCCGGGAUGACUUGUGGAUAGGGGUGAAAGGCCAAUCAAACUUCGUGAUAGCUGGUUCUCUCCGAAAUAUAUUUAGGUAUAGCGUUGUGUCGUAAUAUAAGGGGGUAGAGCACUGAAUGGGCUAGGGCAUACACCAAUGUACCAAACCCUAUCAAACUCCGAAUACCUUAUAUGUAAUCACAGCAGUCAGGCGGCGAGUGAUAAAAUCCGUCGUCAAGAGGGAAACAACCCAGACUACCAGCUAAGGUCCCUAAAUCUUACUUAAGUGGAAAACGAUGUGAAGUUACUUAAACAACCAGGAGGUUGGCUUAGAAGCAGCCAUCCUUUAAAGAAAGCGUAAUAGCUCACUGGUCUAGUGAUUUUGCGCGGAAAAUAUAACGGGGCUAAAGUAAGUACCGAAGCUGUAGACUUGCACACAACUUAGAUUAUUUAAGUUUAGAAUAUGAGAAACUAAGUUAUAUGUUUAGUUAUAUUUUUACUGAUUUUUAUAGAGUAAAGAUAGAAAUAAAACUUAGUAAAAUCAGUAAAAAUAUUCUUAGACUAAAGUUAAGUAGUUUAAGUUGUGUGCAAGUGGUAGGAGAGCGUUCUAUUUGCGUCGAAGGUAUACCGGUAAGGAGUGCUGGAGCGAAUAGAAGUGAGCAUGCAGGCAUGAGUAGCGAUAAUUAAUGUGAGAAUCAUUAACGCCGUAAACCCAAGGUUUCCUACGCGAUGCUCGUCAUCGUAGGGUUAGUCGGGUCCUAAGUCGAGUCCGAAAGGGGUAGACGAUGGCAAAUUGGUUAAUAUUCCAAUACCAACAUUAGUGUGCGAUGGAAGGACGCUUAGGGCUAAGGGGGCUAGCGGAUGGAAGUGCUAGUCUAAGGUCGUAGGAGGUUGUACAGGCAAAUCCGUAUAACAAUACUCCGAGAACUGAAAGGCUUUUUGAAGUCUUCGGAUGGAUAGAAGAACCCCUGAUGCCGUCGAGCCAAGAAAAGUUUCUAAGUUUAGCUAAUGUUGCCCGUACCGUAAACCGACACAGGUGGGUGGGAUGAGUAUUCUAAGGCGCGUGGAAGAACUCUCUUUAAGGAACUCUGCAAAAUAGCACCGUA